GAUGAGUAAGCAGAGAUGCACAUAUGGGCACCCCCUAAAUUUUGUGAUUUUGGCUUAGUGUACACCUGAUUUUUUAACCUUCCCCACAGGAUGCAAAUGUAGCACAAUGGUGGAAUGAUCACAGUUAACUGUGUUUGCAAGCUCAUGUACACUGACAUGCAUCAUUGAUGGUUAAUGGAUUUAAACUACUUUCAUAAUACCCUGUAGAUGUUCCUAAAUGUGGAGAGUCACACAUAUGAAAAAGAUCCUCUUUAAAACAGGAAAACUGUUUUCUUGUCAUUCUCUAAUCAGUGGCAUUGUUCUCAUACAUGACUCAAACGUUUCUGGCCACCUCUGCUAUCACACAUCUAUUGAACUGAAACAGAAGAAUAUGUCUGAAAUGUUCCCAUUUCCCCACUUGGCACCCUUAUUUUCUAGCACCUCCACAGCUCCACGCACUACCUCCAAAUGACAGAAAGGCAAUAUGUAAACUCAAACAAUGGAAUCUUCAGGUAGGAAUAUCAAAAAUUUAGAAAAACAUAGAUAGUUAUUACCAUAAAAUGGGGUCAAACCUAACAAUAGUAACUUGUACCUACAACUAACAAAACAAAACUGUCCACAUGCCUUGAUAAGUAUGGAUAAGUUUUGACUGUGUACAAUUCACAGCAGUGGAAAUGGGACACUCACUGGAAAUGAUGGCAGUGCAACAAGUAACAGACUUCUUCAACUGUGUUUGUUCACUUCUUGCUCUAACAAUUUUACUUACAGACUUUUUGAAUUUUCUGUGAUUGCCGAUAACUACCACAUAUUGUUUUAUAUACAUACUAUAACACUUACUUUUAUUUGUUGUAUCUGCCAUGAACUUACAAAUAAGAGCAGAGAUGUAUAGUUAUGUAGUAGCUGCAUGGCAGUGCUUGAGGAUACGGGUUUCCACAGAAGUAAUUAAUGGUCAUGUUCCUUUGUAACUACUUUUUCCACUGAAUUGUAUUUUGAUAUGUUGCAAGUGUCAACACGAAUAUAGUCGAGGUAUGCUGAACAUGAUAAAACACUGCACUGCAGACUAGUAUGUGACAGUUAUUCACAGCCAGGAUGUCUCAGCAUAUGCAAGCCAAGAGAGUUGGCAUCCUGGCACUUAUCCAGUACGAUGUCACACGGAUGAUGAUGAUGAUGAGUUGUAUUUCCAGAGGCCUGACCACCUCUGUGGCUCUCCAGAUGCAGCAGCAUAACCAAAAGGGCCGACACGAAGAUGAAGAAUGGAAGAGCAGAGAAGGUUGUGAGACGAAAUCAUCCAACAACUUGCUACCGACUGGGACUACACCAUGGCAGGAGCGGCCUCUUCAAGAAGAGCCUCGGCCACACAGUAGUAGACUGGCACUACCGGAACAGUUAUUAGUGUUCCAUACCCAUUGCUUACAUGGACAAUGCAUGUGACAAUCCACUGUAAAUACCAAGUUUGGUAUUGUGAAUUUUCUUUAUUGCAAUAAAACCAUUCAUGUGAUUUGCUUGAA